CAUAUCACAUUGAACUCACUGGUUUUCAUUCGAAAAACCAAGUUAAGCCACAUUGAGCGUGCUCAGUACUUAGGUGGGUGACUGCUCGGGAAUAUCAGGUAUUGUAAG